rnacentral:lncRNA from 1 species
GAAACAACAACUUUAGGAUUUGCUCCAAACAUUUUUUUUAUUGUUUUUAUCAUUUGGAAAACCGAGUCCCAACAAUAAAAUCUUAAUCUAUGAGGGCAUGACAAAGGAUGGGGCAAGGAGCUAGACGAAUAUUGCGGGCGUCCCGCUCGCAGAUUUGCGGUAGUCUUCGAACGGGCGAAGGGUCCAGCACCUCAGCAAGUUGUCGAAAAGUGGUAAAAAACCCAGCUGGAUUGUCCGAAUUUGACCAGUGCUCGAUGCUUUGGCCGUUCGCAGUCUGCCGCAUUCCUGCUAGGCGUCCCACCCGCCCAGGAUUCCUCAACCCAGGGCCAUUGGGAGAGGAUCCGUCGCUAACAGAAUAAGUAUAUACAGACGUUCUUACGACUCGGUUUUGGGAUCUAGGAAGCCCAGGAUAAAUGGCAGAAUGCUGCGGACUCUGAGCUUUGUCAAUCAUAUUCAUUUUGAUAACAUAAAGAUACCACUAAAUUCUGUUUUUAUUUUUCUUCGUUUUCAUGUUUACCUAGAUUAUUUUAAUAUAUAUUUACAUUG